GACGAACGCUGGCGGCGUGCCUAAUACAUGCAAGUCGAACGCAGUGGGGACGGGUGAGUAACACGUGGGUAACCUCCCAUCAGAGGGGAUAACACUUGGCAACAGGUGCUAAACCGAUACUGAUGGAUGGACCCGGGGUGCAUUAGCUAGUUGGUGGGGUAACGGCUCACCAAGGCCACGAUGCAUAGCUGACCGUAGAGGGGGAUCGGCCACACUGGGACUGAGACACGGCCCAGACGCCUACGGGAGGCAGCAGUGGGGAAUAUUGGGCAAUGGACGAAAGUCUGACCGAGCAACGCCGCGUGAGUGAAGAAGGUUUUCGGGUCGUAAAGCUCUUUUGUUAGGGAGGCGGUAUCUAACCAGAAAGCCACGGCUAACUACGUGCCAGCAGCCGCGGUAAUAC
rnacentral:rRNA from 1 species